GCUUUCGUCCUUUCACUGAGAGCAAGUCAGAGGCAACUCGUUUCCACAUUGAUCUGUCUCUUGAACUCUCCAAAGACCCAGUGCUGCUGGAGGCUCUGCCUGAGAUAGCCUUGCCUCACUGUCGACCUCAAACCCUAGCACGGAGGGACCUCUGUCAAGGACAUACCACUGGUUAAGCUUGCACUUUGAGACCUCUCUUUAAAGUUUCUUGCACCAGGUUUGAAUUCAGCAACAUCUUCCCUGGCCAGGUUUAUGAUGCGUGGAAUGAGUGCCGGGCUUCAAGUCAGGAGACCUGGGUUUAUGUACUAUCUCCACCAACUAUUAGCCGGGUGACUUUACGCAAGUUUUUCAGCCUCUCUGGGCCUCCAUUCCCUCAUUUGACAGGCUUUCCUUCUAUUCAAAGCAGGAAGGUGACAACCUGGCUCUGUAAAGGGAGGCCUGAUUGAACACCUACAGAACUGCGUGCCAGCCGCCAUGCCAGGCAUUCAAAAGCUGGACAAUGAAAAAGGAAGACAGA